CGUCAGUAUCCUAAGUGUUGGAGGGUUUCCGCCCUUCAGUGCCGCAGCUAACGCAUUAAGCAUUCCGCCUGGGGAGUACGACCGCAAGGUUGAAACUCAAAGGAAUUGACGGGGGCCCGCACAAGCGGUGGAGCAUGUGGUUUAAUUCGAAGCAACGCGAAGAACCUUACCAGGUCUUGACAUCUUUUGAUCACCUGAGAGAUCAGGUUUCCCCUUCGGGGGCAAAAUGACAGGUGGUGCAUGGUUGUCGUCAGCUCGUGUCGUGAGAUGUUGGGUUAAGUCCCGCAACGAGCGCAACCCUUAUGACUAGUUGCCAGCAUUUAGUUGGGCACUCUAGUAAGACUGCCGGUGACGAACCGGAGGAAGGUGGGGAUGACGUCAAAUCAUCAUGCCCCUUAUGACCUGGGCUACACACGUGCUACAAUGGAUGGUACAACGAGUUGCUAGACCGCGAGGUCAAGCUAAUCUCUUAAAGCCAUUCUCAGUUCGGACUGUAGGCUGCAACUCGCCUACACGAAGUCGG
rnacentral:rRNA from 1 species